AUGCUAUACUGGGGAAGUUGUUUUAGCAACCCUUGACACUUCCUACCUUUAGUCAAGCAUAUUAUAAGCGGCUUAGCCGCCAAAGGAGAAUCAAA
rnacentral:ncRNA from 1 species